rnacentral:rRNA from 1 species
UCCGUAGGUGAACCUGCGGAAGGAUCAUUAUUGAAUGAAUGUAGAGUCGGUUGUUGCUGGCCCUUUCGGGCAUGUGCACGCCUUCUCUUUCAUCCACACACACCUGUGCACUUGUGAGACGGAAAACCCCUCGGGGCGUCCGUCUGCUCUACAUAAACUCAUUAAUAUAUAAACUGAAUGUAAUCGAUGUAACACAUCUUUAAACUAAGUUUCAACAACGGAUCUCUUGGCUCUCGCAUCGAUGAAGAACGUAGCGAAGUGCGAUAAGUAAUGUGAAUUGCAGAAUUCCGUGAAUCAUCGAAUCUUUGAACGCAAAUUGCACUCUUUGGUAUUCCGAAGAGUAUGCCUGUUUGAGGGUCAGUUAAAUAAAAAUCGGUGUUGUUGCUGCUUUUUUGUGGUGACGCUUCGGAUCUGGGUCGUCUUACCUUCGGUUAAGUGACCUAAAAUUUUGAAUGAUUUUUCGAACGUAUUUAAAUUAUUUACGUACGUUUGUGAUGUCGAAUAUGUAUUAGAUGUGGUCAUUCUCAUGAUUCGGCGUCUAUAAUUUUUUGGUAAAAUGGACCUCCAAAUCAGGGUAAGGAGGUACCCGGCUGGAACUUAAGGCAUAUCAAUAAGGCGGGGAGGGGAAGGGUCGGA